AGUGAACGCUGGCGGUAGGCCUAACACAUGCAAGUCGAACGGCAGCACAGUAAGAUCUUGCUCUUACGGGUGGCGAGUGGCGGACGGGUGAGGAAUACAUCGGAAUCUACUUUUUCGUGGGGGAUAACGUAGGGAAACUUACGCUAAUACCGCAUACGACCUACGGGUGAAAGCAGGGGAUCUUCGGACCUUGCGCGAUUGAAUGAGCCGAUGUCGGAUUAGCUAGUUGGCGGGGUAAAGGCCCACCAAGGCGACGAUCCGUAGCUGGUCUGAGAGGAUGAUCAGCCACACUGGAACUGGGACACGGUCCAGACUCCUACGGGAGGCAGCAGUGGGGAAUAUUGGACAAUGGGCGCAAGCCUGAUCCAGCCAUACCGCGUGGGUGAAGAAGGCCUUCGGGUUGUAAAGCCCUUUUGUUGGGAAAGAAAAGCAGCAGGUUAAUACCCCGCUGUUCUGACGGUACCCAAAGAAUAAGCACCGGCUAACUUCGUG
rnacentral:rRNA from 1 species